rnacentral:lncRNA from 1 species
AGCCGUGACCGAUGGAGGCAGGGACUGCGGGGUGGAUACGUGGAGCCGCAGAGGCAGAGCGGGAUGGAGGCGUGAAGCAGUUGGAGCCGUGACCCAUGAAGAUGGGGUAGAUGCAUGGAGCCGUGGAGGGGUGGAGGCGUGAAGCUGUAGUGGAGUCUUGCCUUGUCGGAUCGGGGAGAUCUUGCUGGAGUGGAGCGUGGAGGCAGAGGCGGGAUUCGAGACUCGAGAGUAGGGGUCUUCCUGAGAGCAAGGGCCUAAGGCAAGAGUUUCGAUGGCCUUGACCUUCAGCCACUCCUGAAUAUACUUGCACAAGCAUGACAUGAAUUCUUGAGGCCCAAAUGCAGGUAUACUUCAAAAGCACUGAAGUCACAUGCCACAAAUCAAGGAUAGAGGCCAGUUUGCUUUGGGUUACCUCUUAUCAUGUUUUUUGUUUCUUCUCACCCGCACUUCAUCUUUUCCAUCACAACAUAGCAUGGCAUUGGCUCUUCUAGGGAAUAUUCCUGCUAGAGUCGGUGGCACAGAGAGAAGGAACCAUGUUAACUAACCAAUAAACUAGAGAAAAUUGUUUAUAAUAAUCAUAAUUAGUAGAUGAAAAUAAUAAUAAAUUGCUGUGA